rnacentral:ncRNA from 2 species
AUAAUCAAACUUAUCCGAGCUAACUAUUCUAAAGUAUUGAAAUAUAUGCCAUGAAGGUUGGCCAAUGGGUAGAGUAGGAAACUACGCUGCCUCCCGCUAUUUGGAAAGGAUGGGGUUAACACU